rnacentral:lncRNA from 1 species
AUUCUUCAAACUUCAUUCUCUUAAUCGAUACCUACUACACUAAUGUUGUAGGAGUUAAGCAUGAGAUACGGGGAAUAUGAGGGGACGAUAGGGGUAUUUUUUGAAAUUUUUUGAAAAAUAUGAGAAGAAUAGAGAAUUUCAGGUUUCCAAGGGUUUAGUGGGUAACUUAUAUGGUCCCCUAAAUUUAUUUAUUGCUCCGAUACUAUCCCUAUGAGGACCUUACUAUAAAGGUCUCGCUGAUCGCCUAUAUUAGUUCCUGGAUCAGUAGGCUAAUACAGUUAUCACCACAGUACAGUAUUUAAGAAAUAAAAGACGUAUAAAUUGAUAAGAAAUCAAAUUCACCUUAAUGCAACGAUGGGUGCCCAUGCACUAACAAGAUGGUUAAAACACCUGGAGACCUAUACUUGCACAAUGAAAGUAAGGUUUUGUACACUUAUGAAUGGUACUCAGCAAAACCUAGCAUUGAAAUUAUAUUAAAUGUCAGGAAGAUCAAGGGAAGGGUGUGAUGUUUGAUAAUAAACCUAUUCAAUGCAAGGUGAGGUGGAAUUUUGGAAAGAGAAGAGGUAGAAGACAUUUUUAUUAUGUUGUUGGCCCUGGAGGGGGAAUCUUAUCUCCCCUAUCAGUUCCCAAGUUUUAAAGAGCACUAGAGGCCAUCAAGGUCCUUCUAGGCGGGCUUAUACCUUUUUCCAGCAUUGCUCUCAUAGGGCCUCGGCCCUUUCUCACCAUCCCUAUGUUAUGAUUUCCAAUCGACUGGAGCUUUGACUAUGUGGGCUUGUAACCGUGAGCCACGGCUAUCCAUGAUGAGGAUACCACCAUGCUGGAC